UACGUAGGGUGCGAGCGUUAAUCGGAAUUACUGGGCGUAAAGCGUGCGCAGGCGGUCUUGUAAGACAGGUGUGAAAUCCCCGGGCUUAACCUGGGAAUGUCAUCUGUGACUGCAAGGCUAGAGUACGGCAGAGGGGGAUGGAAUUCCGCGUGUAGCAGUGAAAUGCGUAGAUAUGCGGAGGAACACCGAUGGCGAAGGCAAUCCCCUGGGCCUGUUUUGACGCUGAGGCACGAAAGCGUGGGUAGCAAACAGG
rnacentral:rRNA from 1 species